UCUCCAAGGAGUGGGGUCUACGUGAC
rnacentral:piRNA from 1 species